rnacentral:rRNA from 1 species
UACGGAGGAUGCGAGCGUUAUCCGGAUUUAUUGGGUUUAAAGGGUGCGUAGGCGGACGCUUAAGUCAGCGGUAAAAUUGCGGGGCUCAACCUCGUCGAGCCGUUGAAACUGGGUGCCUUGAGUGGGCGAGAAGUACACGGAAUGCGUGGUGUAGCGGUGAAAUGCAUAGAUAUCACGCAGAACUCCGAUUGCGAAGGCAGCGUACCGACGCCCUACUGACGCUGAAGCACGAAGGCGUGGGUAUCGAACAGG